rnacentral:rRNA from 1 species
GACGAACGCUGGCGGCGUGCUUAACACAUGCAAGUCGAACGGAGUGGCGAACGGGUGAGUAACACGUGGGUGACCUGCCCUGCACUUCGGGAUAAGCCCGGGAAACUGGGUCUAAUACCGGAUAGUGGGGGAUGGGCCCGCGGCCUAUCAGCCUGUUGGUGGGGUCAUGGCCUAACAGGGCGGAGCCGGGUAGCCGGCCUGGGCGAGUGGACGGCCAAAUUGGGGCUGAGACAAGGCCCAGAAUCAUACGGGGGGCAGCAGUCGGGAAGAGAGCACAAUGGGCGGAAGGAUGAUGCAGCGACGCCGAGGGGGGGAUGACGGCCUUCGGGUUGUAAACUCCGAACACCGUCGACGCGGUAGGUGGAGAAGAAGCACCGGCUAACUACGUGCCAGCAGCCGCGGUAAUAC